rnacentral:rRNA from 1 species
UACGGGGGGGGGCAAGCGUUGUUCGGAAUUACUGGGCGUAAAGGGCUCGUAGGUGGCCAACUAAGUCAGACGUGAAAUCCCUCGGCUUAACCGGGGAACUGCGUCUGAUACUGGAUGGCUUGAGUUCGGGAGAGGGAUGCGGAAUUCCAGGUGUAGCGGUGAAAUGCGUAGAUAUCUGGAGGAACACCGGUGGCGAAGGCGGCAUCCUGGACCGGUACUGACGCUGAUGCGCGAAAGCGUGGGGAGCAAACAGGG